AUGUUUGGAGGAAUCAAAGAGCAGCAGCUGUUGGGGGCUUCUGUAAGGGAUUGCCAAGGAGGUGAGGUAAUUUUGAUACACCUGAUGUGGGAAGAACUACAAUGGAGACUCCAGAACAGAAGUUAGUUUUGAAGAAGUGGGCAGCUGCUAAGAAGAGGCCAGUAUUUUGGGAGAAAGAAGAGAGGGAAAGAGAACCAAAAGAAAUAAUUAAAAUUAAAAAAUAAAAUAAAAUUAAAAAAAU
rnacentral:lncRNA from 1 species